UACGAAGGUGGCAAGCGUUAUUCGGAUUUACUGGGCGUACAGGGAGCGUAGGCGGUUCGGUAAGCCCUCUGUGAAAUCUUCAGGCUUAACCUGGAAAAGUCGGGGGGGACUGCUGGGCUAGAGGACGGGAGAGGAGCGCGGAAUUCCCGGUGUAGCGGUGAAAUGCGUAGAGAUCGGGAGGAAGGCCGGUGGCGAAGGCGGGUCUCUGGACAGUUCCUGACGCUGAGGCACGAAGGCCAGGGGAGCAAACGGG
rnacentral:rRNA from 1 species